GAAGCCGGUCUGAGAGGAUGAACGGCCACACUGGAACUGAGACACGGUCCAGACUCCUACGGGAGGCAGCAGUGGGGAAUCAUCCGCAAUGGGCGAAAGCCUGACGGAGCAACGCCGCGUGAGUGAUGACGGCCUUCGGGUUGUAAUACUCUGUGAUCCGGGACGAAAAGGCAGAGUGCGAAGAACAAACUGCAUGACGGUACC
rnacentral:rRNA from 1 species